rnacentral:rRNA from 1 species
UUCCGGUUGAUCCUGCCGGACCCUACUGCUAUCGGGAUAGGACUAAGACAUGUUAGUCGUGCGUCUCUCAGCCAUGAAAGAGACGCGGCGUACGGCUCAGUAGCAUGUGGCUAACCUAACCUAAGGACAGAGACAACCCCGGGAAACUGGGGGUAAUCCCUGAUAGGCGUGGACUCCUGGAAUGGAUCCACACCCAAAGAGCAUUUGAUUCAUGCUUCAAAUGUUGCCUUAGGAUGGGGCCGCAUCCGAUCAGGUUGUUGGCGAGGUAAUGGCUCACCAAGCCUAUAACCGGUACGGGCCGCGGGAGCGGUAGCCCGGAGAUGGACACUGAGACAAGGGUCCAGGCCCUACGGGGCGCAGCAGUCGCGAAAACUUCACAAUGCGCGAAAGCGCGAUGGGGCUAUCCCGAGUGCUAUCCGCUGAGGAUGGCUUUUUCUCCAGUGUAAGGAGCUGGAGGAAUAAGGAGAGGGCAAGUCUGGUGUCAGCCGCCGCGGUAAUACCAGCUCUCCGAGUGGUAGGGAUGAUUAUUGGGCUUAAAGCGUCCGUAGCCGGCCCUGCAAGUCUCCUGUUAAACUCAGCGACCUAAUCGUUGAAUCGCGGGAGAUACUACUAGGCUAGGAGGCGGGAGAGGUCGACGGUACUUCUGGGGUAGGGGUGAAAUCCUAUAAUCCCGGGAGGACCACCAGUGGCGAAGGCUGUCGACUAGAACGCGCUCGACGGUGAGGGACGAAAGCUGGGGGAGCGAACCGGAUUAGAUACCCGGGUAGUCCCAGCCGUAAACGAUGCGGGCUAGGUGUUGGGAUGGCUACGUGCCAUUUCAGUGCCGCAGGGAAGCCAUUAAGCCCGCCGCCUGGGGAGUACGGCCGCAAGGCUGAAACUUAAAGGAAUUGGCGGGGGAGCACCACAAGGCGUGAAGCUUGCGGUUCAAUUGGAUUCAACGCCGGG